rnacentral:rRNA from 1 species
CCUACGGGUGGCAGCAGUGAGGAAUAUUGGUCAAUGGGCGGGAGCCUGAACCAGCCAAGCCGCGUGAGGGAAGAAGGUACAGCGUAUCGUAAACCUCUUUUGUCAGGGAACAAAGGCGGGGACUAGUCCCCGGAUGAGGGUAUCUGAAGAAAAAGCAUCGGCUAACUCCGUGCCAGCAGCCGCGGUAAUACGGAGGAUGCGAGCGUUAUCCGGAUUUAUUGGGUUUAAAGGGUGCGCAGGCGGCCUGUUAAGUCAGCGGGAAAAGCCCGGGGCUCAACCCCGGCGAGCCGUUGAAACUGGCGGGCUAGAGUUGGAGAGAAGUACGCGGAAUGCACGGUGUAGCGGUGAAAUGCUUAGAUAUCGCGCAGAACCCCGAUUGCGAAGGCAGCGUACCGGCUCCACACUGACGCUGAGGCACGAAAGCGUGGGUAUCGAACAGGAUUAGAUACCCGGGUAGUC